UUUCUAGACAAAGAAGUUCACCCCUUUCCGGUCCCUUUAAGUGGAUCUUGCUUGUCUGCAGACACCCACCCUCACUUGAGUAAAAGCCACGCAGAGCUCCCUGUGGAAGAGGUAGAGUCAGCAAUGGAAGCAGUUUGGGUCUGGACGUGGAAGCUGCCUGCCCACUCGGCACACCCACGUUGGACGAUUAGCUGCAGGCUCCC
rnacentral:lncRNA from 1 species